rnacentral:rRNA from 1 species
AGGUUUGAUCCUGGCUCAGAACGUACGCUGGCGGCACGCCUUAUACAUGCAAGUCGAACGCAGUAGCAAUACUGAGUGGCAAACGGGUGAGUAUAAUGUGGGAAUCUGCCUUUUGGUUUGGAAUAACACGGGGAAACUUGUGCUAAUACCGGAUAAGCCUUCACAGGGAAAGUUUUAUACGCCGAAAGAUGAGCCCGCACUUGAUUAGCUAGUUGGUGAGGUAAAAGCUUACCAAGGCAAUAAUCAAUAGCUGGUCUGAGAGGAUGAUCAGCCACAUUGGGACUGAGACACGGCCCAGACUCCUACGGGAGGCAGCAGUAAGGAAUCUUGCACAAUGGGGGAAACCCUGAUGCAGCGAUGCCGCGUGAGUGAAGAAGGCCCUUGGGUUGUAAAACUCUUUCGUCGGGGAAGAAAAUGACUGUACCCGAAUAAGAAGGUCCGGCUAACUUCGUGCCAGCAGCCGCGGUAAUACGAAGGGACCUAGCGUAGUUCGGAAUUACUGGGCUUAAAGAGCUCGUAGGUGGUUAAAAAAGUUGAUUGUGAAAUCCCAAGGCUCAACCUUGGAACUGCAAUCAAAACUUUUUAGCUAGAGUGUGACAGGGGAAAGUGGAAUUUCUAGUGUAGAGGUGAAAUUCGUAGAUAUUAGAAAGAACACCAAAAGCGAAGGCAACUUUCUGGGUCACUACUGACACUGAGGAGCGAAAGCAUGGGUAGCG